AUUGAACGCUGGCGGCAGGCUUAACACAUGCAAGUCGAGCGGGGUGAUGGUGCUUGCACUAUCACUUAGCGGCGGACGGGUGAGUAAUGCUUAGGAAUCUGCCUAUUAGUGGGGGACAACAUCUCGAAAGGGAUGCUAACACCGCAUACGUCCUACGGGAGAAAGCAGGGGAUCACUUGUGACCUUGCGCUAAUAGAUGAGCCUAAGUCGGAUUAGCUAGUUGGUGGGGUAAAGGCCUACCAAGGCGACGAUCUGUAGCGGGUCUGAGAGGAUGAUCCGCAGCGGUGGGACUGAGACACGGCCCAGACUCCUACGGGAGGCAGCAGUGGGGAAUAUUGGACAAUGGGGGGAACCCUGAUCCAGCCAUGCCGCGUGUGUGAAGAAGGCCUUAUGGUUGUAAAGCACUUUAAGCGAGGAGGAGGCUCUUUUGGUUAAUACCCAAGAUGAGUGGACGUUGCUCGCAGAAUAAGCACCGGCUAACUCUGUGCCAGCAGCCGCCGCCG
rnacentral:rRNA from 1 species